GCUUGAUGGCAUUAUCAGACUUGUCACAAGGUUUUUCUAACAAGUCUGAUACAGUCAUGAUAAACAAAAAUGUUACAAGGUUGACGACACAAGGUUGUAACAAUACUGCUAUAUCAGGACUGUAUCGGACUUGUUGGAACAACCUUGUAACAAGCCUGAUAAUAUCAACAAGG
rnacentral:miRNA from 1 species